rnacentral:rRNA from 1 species
AUGGCGUUCCCAAGGAGCCCUGCUUCCACCGUGAGCAGCUACGUUUCUACUCCGACGGUGAGAAGCUGCCCCAGCUCCUCCAUCUCCACAGGCUGCAGCACACCUGCCACCCCAAACCCCUUUGCGGUCGCGGCAAUAAGCCCCGCCGCGAUCCGGCAUAUAGUUUCAGCCGGACAUGCCGGUGAGCACAAGCCGGCGCUAGCAGCCACAGGAACUCCUGAUCUCACACAGGGAAAGAAGCUUCAGCAGCAUCAGGAUCACACGCCGGCGCUAGCAGCCACAGGAACUCCUGACUUCACACAGGGACAGAAGCUUCAGCAGCAUCAGGAUCUUCCGGAAUCAGCAGCGAAGUUCCCUAAGCAAGAAAACCCAGCACUAGCAACCACAGGAGGUACGGAAUUCAUACAGGGAAAGAAGCUUCAGCAGCAUCAGGAUCUUCUUGAAUCAUCAGCGAAGUUCCCUAAGCAAGAAAUCAAUGGCUGGGAGCAUCCAGACCUCUGUUCACCAUCAAAGCUGCUCAAGAACGUAACUACUUCUAUCAAGGAGAUCAGUCGCUGGGCAAGAUCUUCAACGGGGUCAAAGGUGAACUCAAAUAUCCGGCUCUUGGAGUCUGUGUUUUCUUUGAUACAAGUGGUAACUUCGACAGCACCACACCCAGAUCACGUCGUCGCCAUGAUACGAGUCCACGAAGCGCUUGCUAACCUGUUGCUGGUCCUGCCCAAGAAUAUAUUCCCUUUCCUGUUGCAACACUUCGCUCAGUUUGUAGAUGAAUUAUGCCCGAAAAGAGGUGCAUCGCUAUCAGAAAGGUUUGGAAACGCACUGCAUGAUUUGCGAAGAAGCAUAAGGAGUGGUCUUCAGGUGCUCAAAGACAUGAUCUUGGACUAUACAUCUGACGUAGUCCCCCAAGGUGGUGGUAUCCAUGAGAUCACCAAAUACUUGUUAAGAUACAUCAUGUCACUACUGGACAAUGGCACCUCUCUCAAGAUCAUACUUGUCGGUGAUGAACAGGAUGGCAAGGUUGCAAUGGAGACGCUGCAAGAUAUUGUUGCUACCUUGAUCUCUCACUUGGAAAUUAUGCUUGAGAAAGAAUCUCAGCGAUAUAAAGAUGCAGGGUUAAAACAAAUGUUCAUGGUGAAUAACGUGAACUUUGUGCUGCAUCAAGUAGAAGGCUCAAAGAUAAGGUAUCUUCUAGGAGAUGAUUGGGUUCUGAAGCACCAAGACCAAAUGAAGGACCAUAUCUCAUCGUUCAUCAACAUUUCUUGGGAAUCUGUCAUGUAUUGCUUCCAUGUAAAGACCAACAAAAUCCCAAUCUUUUCUAACCUACCAACACUGCAAAUAUUUAACCUUCAAUUUGAGAAAACUUACUGGACUCAGAAGACAUGGAAAGUUGAAAAUCCUCUGCUCCGGUCCAAUAUGCGUAAAUCAGUAUCAGAGAAGCUUGUUCAGGCUUACAGUACAUACCUUGAGAAGCACAAAAAUAAAGCUCCAAAGCUUAUGAAGUACACCCCUGAAGAUCUUGAAAAGCUGCUGUCAGAUCUGUUUGAAGGAUAA